rnacentral:ribozyme from 1 species
UUUUUCUUUUCAUUUUUUUUUCUUUUUUCCUUUUUUUUAU